AAAAGCUGGGUUGAGAGGUGA
rnacentral:miRNA from 1 species